rnacentral:lncRNA from 1 species
AAAACUCAAGGAUACCGUGGGCUGAAAGAAGAACUUAGGAAUUCACAGAUGACAUUGAAGAGAGCAGCUUGAACUGAAUGGGUAGGAGGAAGGAGAAGCAACAAGUACCAGCCCCUCUUUGUGUCAGGAUGGCAACUUAAGAGUGUCUUGAACAUUUGAAGGGCAUUGUAAAGAUCCCAUUCACCUCAAAUUUGUGAUUUUUCUUCUUCAAUACUUGGCAGCCUGGGUGACAGCUUAGGAAAAGCAGAAAGCAGGCAGUGGAGUAUCCCACUAGAGUUGGGGACUGCAAAGCUAUUGUGAGCACAAGUAUGAUCCAGUGUAAGGGAGCACCACAUGCGUGUGUUACCCACUGGUCAGCUGCUCUCUAUGCUGCUGCUGCUGCUAGAAGCGCUGGAAUCUGAGUCUGAAUCAGAGAAGAAGGAAGAGCUUGUAGAGGAGGCUGAAGGUGAUGACCUAGGGGACAUUUCAUGGGCGUCACUGUCCUCUGAGGAGGAUGAGGUAGACGUUUCUUCACUCUCUGAUGAAGAACCAGUAACUCAGCUGUCACUGCCACUGCUCCUGGAACUGGCUACACUCAGACCCAUUUUUCUCCAAUGCUUUGUUGUCAUAAUAACCUAUUUUCUUUUUCUUGUAAAGCUUUCUUUAGUUCUGCUGUUCUUAAAGGUUUACGUAGGCAUUUUUUCCCUGUGCAUUCUUAAGCUCGCUGUCCAAAUUCCAAGCAUGUCUGACAUCUUACGUGUGGCUCAUUUGCUUCAGCCUACCUCCAGGCUCUGGGAGGGAACCAUCUUAGCCAGCUGA